rnacentral:lncRNA from 1 species
CCUGUGUUGGUCACAUCCUCAAAUGCCUUUGGGGCUGGAUGAACAGUCGGCUUGUGGGUCAUUUCCCCAGACAAGACUCUGCUGCCUUGGACUUCUCUGGAACCUGUGUGGCUCCUCAAAUGAUGGCCAAAAUUCCAAAAACAGAGAGGACAUUUACACCUGUGGAGCAAUACUAUUCUGUUUUCAUGGUGAUUUCAACUAAUAUGUGGAAGGGAAGGAGGGGA